rfam:Triticum aestivum genome assembly, contig: Triticum_aestivum_CS42_TGACv1_scaffold_131910_2BL
UGCUCAGUGAUUAUAGCCAAUUACAUUGGCAAUAUACGCUAUGCUGACCAUAUUUUGAUGAGAAGUUGUAUAUGAGAGCU